rnacentral:rRNA from 1 species
GGCAGCCGCGGUAAUUCCAGCUCCAAUAGCGUAUAUUAAAGUUGUUGCAGUUAAAAAGCUCGUAGUUGAACUUCAGGCCUGGCUGGACGGUCCGCCUUCCGGGCGAGUACUGUCUGUGGUCGGGUCCUACCUUCUGGCGAAGCGUCAUGGCCUUAACCGGCCGUGGCGGGGAACCAGGACUUUUACUGUGAAAAAUUAGAGUGUUCAAAGCAGGCAAUUCGCUUGGAUACAUUAGCAUGGAAUAAUGGAAUAGGACAAUGGUUCUAUUUGUUGGUUUCUAGGACUGUUGUAAUGAUUAAUAGGGAUAGUUGGGGGCAUUAGUAUUCAAUUGUCAGAGGUGAAAUUCUUGGAUUUAUUGAAGACUAACUACUGCGAAAGCAUUUGCCAAGGAUGUUUUCAUUAAUCAAGAACGAAAGUUAGGGGAUCGAAGACGAUCAGAUACCGUCGUAGUCUUAACCAUAAACUAUGCC